AUGUAUAGAGCGUUAAUCCAGUCUGAUGUACUAGUUGAUAAUAAUAAGAAGAUCUGAAAGAUGAAGAUACCUCUAAAGAAUAAAAUCUUUGCAUGGUAUCUUCGUCAUGGAGUCAUUCUUACUAAAGAUAACCUUACUAAGAUAAAUUGGCAUGGAAGCCCGCAAUGUGUCUUUUGUCACCAUGAUGAGACAAUAAAACAUUUAUCUUCCAAUGCAAAUUGGGUCGUUCUAUAUGGUCAGUCAUCCAGAUAG
rnacentral:rRNA from 1 species